GCUAGGUGAGUAGGGUGUGACGGGCUGGCUAGGUGAGUAGGGUGUGACGGGCUGGCUAGGUGAGUAGGGUGUGACGGGCUGGCUUAGAGGUAGACAGAGAAAUGUAAAACAUUAUAAACAGUUUCACUGCAGUUGACUAUAUUAUAUUUGUCUCUAUCACUUCAUACUAGUCUGCUUCUUGAACAGUUUGGUAAAUAAAUAAUAUUUUAAACUGGAUAAUGAGGGCUGGGGGAAUAGAUGUUAGUAGAUAGUGAGGUAAUUGAUGUUAGUAGAUAGGGAGGUAAAAGAUGUUAGCAGAUGAGGUAAUAGAUGUUAGUAGAUAGUGAGGGCUGCGGGAAUAGAUGUUAGUAGAUAGUGAGGUAAUAGAUGUUAGUAGAUAGUGAGGGCUGGGGAAUAGAUGUGAGGUAAUAGAUGUAGUAGAUAGUGAGGUAAUAGAUGUUAGUAGAUAGUGAGGGCUGGGGGAAUAGAUGUUAGUAGAUAGUGAGGUAAUAGAUGUUAGUAGAUAGUGAGGGCUGGUGGAAUAGAUGUUAGUAGAUAGUGAGGGCUGUGGGGAAUAGAUGUGAGGUAAUAGAUGUAGUAGAUAAUGAGGGCUGUGGGGAAUAGAUGUAGUAGAUAGUGAGGUAAUAGAUGUUAGUAGAUAGUGAGGGCUGGGGGAAUAGAUGUUAGUAGAUAGUGAGGUAAUAGAUGUUAGUAGAUAGUGAGGGCUGGGGGAAUAGAUGUUAGUAGAUAGUGAGGGCUGGGGGAAUAGAUGUUAGUAGAUAGUGAGGUAAUAGAUGUUAGUAGAUAAUGAGGGCUGUGGGGAAUAGAUGUUAGUAGAUAAUGAGGGCUGUGGGGAAUAGAUGUAGUAGAUAGUGAGGUAAUAGAUGUUAGUAGAUAAUGAGGGCUGGGGAAUAGAUGAUAGUAGAUAGUGAGGUAAUAGAUGUUAGUAGAUAGUGAGGUAAUAGAUGUUAGUAGAUAGUGAGGUAAUAGAUGUUAGUAGAUAGUGAGGUAAUAGAUGUUAGUAGAUAAUGAGGGCUGUGGGGAAUAGAUGUUAGUAGAUAAUGAGGGCUGUGGGGAAUAGAUGUAGUAGAUAGUGAGGUAAUAGAUGUUAGUAGAUAAUGAGGGCUGGGGAAUAGAUGAUAGUAGAUAGUGAGGUAAUAGAUGUUAGUAGAUAGUGAGGGCUGGGGGAAUAGAUGUUAGUCCAUUGUACAGAAAGAAGAGUGAGACCAUUCCCAGCUAGCACAUAACGGUCUGAGAACCAUAUGUUUCUUAGAUCUUGGUGAGAGCGUUGUCUUGUCCUAGUUAUUUCGCAUAAAACCUUCCCACAGUGUUCUGGGAAUGUUACAGGAUAUCCAGCUAGCACAUAACCAGAACCCUAUUUUCCUAUGUGGGAAUGUCAUUAAAUCAGCAUAACAUUAUUUUUAUACCACUUUUUUCGUAGUAUCCAAAUUGUUACAAUCUUGUCCCAUCGCUGCAACUCCUGUACGGACUCAGGAGAGGCGAAGGUCGAGAGCCGUGUGUCCUCCGAAACACAACCCAACCAAGCCUCACUGCUUCUUGACACAACGCUCGCUUAACCCGGAAAGGCAGCCGCACCAAUGUGUCGGAGGAAACACCGUAUACCUGGCGACCGUGUCAGCGUGCUUUGCGCCUCUGCCCGCCACAGGAAUCGCUAGUGCGCGAUGGGACAAGAACAUCCAUGCCGGCCAAACCUCCCCUAACCCGGACGACAAUUGUGCGCCGCCAGAGCCUGGACUCGAACCACUGAGCCAGUUAGGAGGCCCAACAUAACAUUUUCUACGGGGUGCCUCGUGGUUCUAUUUAAAGUUAUGUUCUCAAUUCAUUCAGAGAACGUUAAGGAACAACGUUCUUCUGUGGGAAUUUCAGUACUUCAUUAUGGUCCUAUUUAAAAUGUUCUCAGAACGUUUCCAUAAAAAAAAACACAAUAAAACAUUAGAAACGCUCAAAGUACAUAAGAAUGUUAUUUAAAAACCUAUACACUCUGUUCUCUGCAUCAACAAAACUCUCUAUCCUCUAUCUUGUGUUAAGUAUGUUCAGGUGUCUUGGCCACGCCCACUAAUUGGCCACACCUGAUAUUAAUGAGUGCUUGUUUGUUUUGAAAUGGGUUUCUGUUUGAAUAGACAAAAUGGAACAGAUUUGUAUGAGUUAAAAAAACAACAUGGCAUUCUAGCACCAUCCUGGUGGCACAGUGGACUAAUUCCAUGGAGACAAUAGAAAAUCAUAGGUUAAAAUCUCACUGAUGCCGUGCCACAACAAAAACAGUUAACCUAAGCUAGCAGUAUUAUUAAAAGGCUUAUAGAAACAUGUUGUCAGAACGUUAUUUAAUUACCUUCAAAUAACCAAUCAUUUCCGUUCUCAUAAAGGUUAAUAAAACCUCCCAGUAAAACUUUCAGGGAACCGUAGUUAAACAUUCUCAGAACCUCCCUGGAACAAUAGUAAAAUGUUCUCAGAACCUCCCUGGAACCAUAGUAAAAUGUUCUCAGAACCUCCCUGGAACCAUAAUAAAACGUUCUCAGAACCUCCCUGGAACCAUAGUUAAACGUUCUCAGAACCUCCCUGGAACCAUAGUAAAACGUUCUCAGAACCUCCCUGGAACCAUAGUUAAACAUUCUCAGAACCUCCCCACCCAAUAAAAAUGUACGUUCCCAGAACAGGCAAAAAUAUCACUUCCGUUCUCAGAACGUUUUAAAAAAACCUUCAGUUUUACAGGUCAUGAAACUUACGGACACGUUCCCAGAACCAAUGGGAAAUCAAAAACGUAGGUUCCCACAACUUCCAAGGAACCAAAUGUGCUAGCUGGGAUGUUGUUGGUUCACAUUGAAUGGUAUAGCAGUGGAACAUUCAGAAUCAGAAUGAGUUCUAGAAGUACUGUACUGGUCAUUAAUCUAGGAAACCUGGUUCCCCCCCCCUUUCUUACUAGGCUGGUCCCAGAUCCAUUUGUGCUGUCUUACCAACUCCCAUGGUCAAUGUCAUGCCACUGUGACAACGACCAUAGGCGUCUAUCUGUACUACUGCAUGGUAAAGAACCAGAGGGGUGUACUAUAACACAGGAUCAAUGAGUUAGCCAGGGACUUCGAUUAACAAAACAGAAAUAACUGUGAAUUUUCUGAUUCAAAAGAAAAGCUAAUACAGUAUGUGUUUUUGGUCGUUGAGUCAGUUAACCUUGAAAUGGUUAUAGUCUAUCUUCCUAAGAAAUAGAAGUAUAUUUUAGAGUAUUCAGGCAAGUUAACUCCUUGAUUCUGCUGUGCGGUAUUCCCUUCUGAAAAGCCACAGUUUCCCAAACAGCUUGUUAACCAGUAGAGGUUGUGUUAUUGUUGGGAACGCUUUUUCGUGUUCGCAAACAAUAUAUCAGUGGGCUUGGUGGACUGUUAAAAUGUGUAGAUUGUGUUAAAUUUGAUGAGGAAAAACAACGAUCCAUGUGUAUAUUACUACAUUUGAAGGGUAAUCUAUCAAAGUUAUUGUAUAUGCAAAAAUAUAAAACAGCUUAUUUUUCGGCGGGGUAAUUUUAGUUGUUUCCAUGUUUUAUGUAAACUGUAAGGUUGUUGUUAUGGUUACGUGUCAAGCAGGAUGUCUAUAAAAGGUCUGACCAAAGAGGUUUGUCCUGUAACAAUCUCCCAGAGAGCCAUGAACACGCUAGCCCAGGUCUGAGUCCAAAAUGGCGCCCUAUUCCCUUUACAGUGCACUACUUUUGACCAGGGUCCAUAGGGAGUAGGGAUGCCGUUUGGGACGGACACAGACAAACACACAGCAGCAUCAAAGUGGUUUCUUCCUCGUGGUCUUCCACACUACAGUAUGUAACGUCAUCGUUCACAAAACAAGUCAUCGUCAUCAUUUUUUAUUUAAAAAAAAAUGGGAGAAAAAAAAAAACGUCUCUGUUGUCUGAGCUUCAAUAUACACAGUGAUUGAAUAAUGAAAGGAGAACGUCAAAAUGUCCCUGCUGUACAUCUGGGCCGUGCCUGAAACAGGAAUGGGCGGAACCGCAACCUGCAGGCUGCAAUUGUCUAAUAAGAAAAUGUUCAUUGUUGUUAUCCGUUACGGAGCACGACCCAGGUAUUGACUUAUGAAGAAAAGAAAAAAAACAAAUAGAUAUUGGUCUGUUUUAGUACAUGUAACACAUACUGGCAGGUACAAACAACUAUGAAACCAGGAUCAUCUCCAAACUAGGAUUACAUUAUUUAUUGAUAGUUGCUUUUCCAAAAGCAAAUGUUUACAAGAACAGAAUAGUAAAUAACAGCCAAUAAGUAGUUUGUGUGAAUCGUUUGAAGAAUAGCUACAUAGUUGGAAAAGUCCGAUUGGUUGGAGCUACAUAGUACGGAAAAGUCACAUUUUUAGGCCCUCUUCACAGGCUUGAAACGUAUAUUAUUAUUUUUUCACAGCAGAUUGUGUGUUUGUUCUGGAUCUGCACUCCACAAAGGGUUAAAUACCAGCCGUAUGGUGACGUCAUUCUGAACCGAUGGGUUGGUGCUAUCCCUACGGUGACGUCAUUCUGAACCGAUGGGUUGGUGCUAGCCCUACGGUGACGUCAUUCUGAACCGAUGGGUUGGAGCUAGCCGUAUGGUAACAUUCUGAACCGAUGGGUUGGAGCUAGCCCUACGGUGAUGUCAUUCUGAACCGAUGGGUUAGAGCUAGCCCUACGGUAACAUCAUUCUGAACCGAUGGGUUGGUGCUAGCCGUAUGGUAACAUUCUGAACCGAUGGGUUGAAGCUAGCCGUACGGUGACAUCAUUCUGAACCGAUGGGUUGAAGCUAUCCGUACGGUGACAUCAUUCUGAACCGAUGGGUUGAAGCUAGCCGUACGGUGACAUCAUUCUGAACCGAUGGGUUGGAGCUAGCCCUACGGUGACGUCAUUCUGAACCGAUGGGUUGGUGCUAGCCCUACGGUGACGUCAUUCUGAACCGAUGGGUUGGAGCUAGCCGUACGGUAACAUUCAGAACCGAUGGGUUGGUGCUAGCCCUACGGUCACAUCAUUCUGAACCGAUGGGUUGGUGCUAGCCCUACGGUAACAUCAUUCUGAACCGAUGGGUUGGUGCUAGCCGUAUGGUAACAUUCUGAACCGAUGGGUUGGUGCUAGCCCUACGGUGAUGUCAUUCUGAACCGAUGGGUUGGAGCUAGCCAUACGGUCACGUCAUUCUGAACCAAUGGGUUGGUGCUAGCCCUACGGUAACAUCAUUCUGAACCGAUGGGUUGGUGCUAGCCCUACGGUAACAUCAUUCUGAACCGAUGGGUUGGAGCUAGCCCUACGGUAACAUCAUUCUGAACCGAUGGGUUGGAGCUAGCCCUACGGUUACGUCCUUCUGAACCGAUGGGUUGGUGCUAGCCCUACGGUAACGUCCUUCUGAACCGAUGGGUUGGAGCUAGCCAUAUGGUAACA
ensembl:lncRNA